GAUGAAGAACGUAGCGAAAUGCGAUAAGUAAUGCGAAUUGCAGAAUUCCAGUGAGUCAUCGAAUCUUUGAACGCACAUUGCGCCCUUUGGUAUUCCGAAGGGCAUGCCUGUUCGAGCGUCACUAUCACCCCUCAAGCCCUCGGCUUGGUGUUGGAAGGUUUGGUGGAGGCCCCCUCGGGGGCUCCUGCCCCUCCCAAAGACAAUGACGGCGGCCUCGUUGGACCCCCGGUACACUGAGUUCUUCACGGGACACGUAUCGGACACAUGGGUUUACGGGACACGGUCUGCCUCCCCUCAGGGAGAAUCUUUCUAAGGUUGACCUCGGAUCAGGUAGGGAUACCCGCUGAACUUAAGCAUAUCAAUAAGCGGAGGA
rnacentral:misc_RNA from 1 species